AUGGGAGCGCGCUGGAGAGAUGGUAAGUUACUGGGUGGCGCCUGGGGCGCGCCCGCCGCAGCGCCUACGGCAGGGCCGUUGGUGCCGUGGUGGGCAUUCCGAUUUCCCCCUCUGAUUCCCCAGGGCCUCCGUCCGCCGCACCGCACCCGCUAGGGCCGUGUGGCUUAGGUGCCCCAGGAGGAGGACGCAGCGCGGGGCUUCUACCAUUGCGGUGUCCGCCACGCGAGGUUAACUCCCGUUGCUCGGUUGGUAAGUCUGGCCAGCGGCCAUCUACCCACAUAACCCAUCCGGCAUCGGUCGGGGGCGAUCCCCCGUCCCCUGUAUCCAGGCGACUCCAUUACGCCGUGCAUCCUGAGAUGUCGGUUUCGUGGAGGU
rnacentral:rRNA from 1 species